UACGUAGGGUGCAAGCGUUAAUCGGAAUUACUGGGCGUAAAGCGUGCGCAGGCGGUUUUGUAAGUCUGUCGUGAAAUCCCUGGGCUCAACCUAGGAAUUGCGAUGGAGACUGCAAGGCUAGAAUCUGGCAGAGGGGGUAGAAUUCCACGUGUAGCAGUGAAAUGCGUAGAGAUGUGGAGGAACACCGAUGGCGAAGGCAGCCCCCUGGGUCAAGAUUGACGCUCAUGCACGAAAGCGUGGGGAGCAAACAGG
rnacentral:rRNA from 1 species